CCUACGGGGGGCAGCAGUGAGGAAUAUUGCGCAAUGGAGGCAACUCUGACGCAGCCAUGCCGCGUGCAGGAAGAAGGCGCUACGCGUUGUAAACUGCUUUUAACCGGGAAGAAACCCCAGGACGUGUCCUGGGUUGACGGUACCGGAGGAAUAAGCACCGGCUAACUUCGUGCCAGCAGCCGCGGUAAUACGAAGGGUGCAAGCGUUAUCCGGAUUCAUUGGGUUUAAAGGGUGCGUAGGCGGAGCGUUAAGUCAGUGGUGAAAUCCUGCAGCUU
rnacentral:rRNA from 1 species